UUAAAUUGAAGAGUUUGAUCAUGGCUCAGAUUGAACGCUGGCGGCAGGCCUAACACAUGCAAGUCGAACGGUAACAGAAAGCAGCUUGCUGCUUUGCUGACGAGUGGCGGACGGGUGAGUAAUGUCUGGGAAACUGCCUGAUGGAGGGGGAUAACUACUGGAAACGGUAGCUAAUACCGCAUAACGUCGCAAGACCAAAGAGGGGGACCUUCGGGCCUCUUGCCAUCGGAUGUGCCCAGAUGGGAUUAGCUUGUUGGUGGGGUAACGGCUCACCAAGGCGACGAU
rnacentral:rRNA from 1 species